CAGUUUUUAGCCUAGUGGUUAGAGCAUUGGGCUUGUAACCGAAAGGUUGCAAGUUCGAAUCCCUGAGCUGA
rnacentral:tRNA from 1 species